rnacentral:rRNA from 1 species
CCUACGGGCGGCAGCAGUGAGGAAUAUUGGUCAAUGGCCGUAAGACUGAACCAGCCAAGUAGCGUGAGGGAAGAAUGUCCUAUGGGUUGUAAACCUCUUUUAUCCGGGGACAAAGGCGUCGACGUGUGGCCGUUUGCAGGUACCGGAAGAAUAAGCAUCGGCUAACUCCGUGCCAGCAGCCGCGGUAAUACGGAGGGUCCGGGCGUUAUCCGGAUUUAUUGGGUUUAAAGGGUGCGUAGGCCGGUCUUUAAGUGUGCGGUGAAAUUUCGUGGCUCAACCACGAGAGUGCGGCGGGACCUGGAGGCCUCGAGUGGGCGGAAGGCAGGCGGAAUGCGUGGUGUAGCGGUGAAAUGCUUAGAUAUCGCGAAGAACCCCGAUUGCGAAGGCAGCCUGCCGGAGCGAUACUGACGCUGAGGCUCGAAAGCGCGGGUAUCGAACAGGAUUAGAUACCCUAGUAGUC